CUGUUCCAAGAUUUACCUACCGAGCCAAUAAUACGCUGAAUGAUAUUUUAUUCCAGCCUAUCACAAGUUUUGAAGAUAAUAUCAUUGAGGAAAAUGAAACAAUAAGAGUCAUCAUAGUACCUAGUAAUGAUAAUUUUGUUCUAAUACAGAGAGACAGGCAGACAGCUACCAUCACCAUUGUUGAUGAUGAUUCUGGUGUGCUGUCAUUAGAGAGAGGAACAUAUGAUGUGAUUGAGAAUGAAGGAACUGUAGAAAUAUGUGCUGUACUAACUGGAGGGGUAUUACCAACUGAUACAAGAAUAACUCUACAAGCUUGGGAUAACACUGCACAACUUAGGAGUGACUAUAGUACCCGUAAAAUUCAUCCAAUAUUACGUUCAUCUACAAUAAAGACAUGUGGUAGAUU